rnacentral:rRNA from 1 species
UACGUAGGGGGCAAGCGUUGUCCGGAUUUAUUGGGCGUAAAGAGCGUGUAGGCGGCCAGGUAGGUCCGUUGUGAAAACUAGAGGCUCAACCUCUAGACGUCGAUGGAAACCAUCUGGCUAGAGUCCGGAAGAGGAGAGUGGAAUUCCUGGUGUAGCGGUGAAAUGCGCAGAUAUCAGGAAGAACACCCGUGGCGAAGGCAGCUCUCUGGGCCGAAACUGACGCUGAGGAGCGAAAGCGUGGGGAGCGAACAGG